UCGAGAAUUUUUCACAAUGGGGGAAACCCUGAUGGAGCGACGCCGCGUGGAGGAUGAAGGUCUUCGGAUCGUAAACUCCUGUCACCCCAGAACAAAAUCAUUCAUGUUAAUAUCAUGAAUGGUCGAUGGUAUGGGGAGAGGAAGGGACGGCUAACUCUGUGCCAGCAGCCGCGGUAAUACAGAGGUCCCAAGCGUUGUUCGGAUUCACUGGGCGUAAAGGGUGUGUAGGAGGUCUCGUUAGUCGGGUGUGAAAGCCCACCGCUUAACGGUGGAAUGGCAUUCGAUACUGCGAGGCUCGAGGUCUAGAGGGGCAAGCGGAAUUCAUGGUGUAGCAGUGAAAUGCGUAGAUAUCAUGAGGAACACCGGUGGCGAAAGCGGCUUGCUGGAUAGGUCCUGACUCUGAAACACGAAAGCCAGGGGAGCAAACGG
rnacentral:rRNA from 1 species